CGCCUCCCGGCCGGCCUCCGAUCCGCGCGCUGGCCCAGGCCUCCGAGAGCGCCGCGGAUGGACCUCAGGGAAGGCCUGGCGCGCCGCCUCCGGGAAGCCUUCCGGCGUUCCCCCUGCACCGAGUACUGGGGAGCCUCAGACCACGGUGAAUGAAGAGCGACGGGCCGGAGAGACCUCGGCCUCUGCCCAGAAGCAACGUCCAGCAACCCGGCCUACAGGGGACCGGUGGACGCCCUGGUGGCCACUUUGCCAGACCCCUCAUCUCCCAGAGAACCAGAAGGGGUUUCCCUUCCCCUCCUGCUUGGUGCCCAGCGCCAGGGCGGGGCGGGGGCUGAGCAGCCCCUCCCAUGGACCGAGCGGCCAGUCUACGUGUUGGAGGAGGGGCUCUGGGGCAAGGGGGGUGUUAGGCAGGCGGUUGGAGGCAGCGGGAGGUGGGGAGGCGCCUGGUGGGGAGGGGCAGGUGUGUGGGGAGGGGCUGGGCAGCGCCUCCCCAGUCAGGCCCUGCAGCUGUACCCCGGCUCCGUUCGGCCUGGGAAAGGACUCCACGGUUUAGGCUGAAGUGGUGGUGGGGUAGGUGAACGCUGCGCAGUGGAAGAGCAUGGUCCUGUGCUGACUGCCCCAGGGUAUGGGGCUGUGGCGGCACUGGGGGGGAUGCGGUGUGUCAUUUGAGCAAUGGCGGCCAACUGUGGCAUGCAGGCCUUGGAGCUGCCCCUCCGUGGAGCUUUAAUAAAGGCACUGGCCCUGCAA